rnacentral:rRNA from 1 species
CACGUAGGGGGCGAGCGUUGUCCGGAAUUAUUGGGCGUAAAGGGCUCGUAGGCGGUUUGUCGCGUCGGGAGUGAAAUCCACUGGCUUAACUGGUGGCUUGCUUUCGAUACGGGCAGACUGGAGGUAUGCAGGGGAGAACGGAAUUCCUGGUGUAGCGGUGAAAUGCGCAGAUAUCAGGAGGAACACCGGUGGCGAAGGCGGUUCUCUGGGCAUGUCCUGACGUGAGGAGCGAAAGUGUGGGGAGCGAACAGG